UUUAUAUAAUAACUACAGUGAAACACGCAAUUUGAUUGGUCAACAGCCGUGCAGAGGGUCCUGAAGGGGUAAAAUGGGAACUGGGAUUGAUCUAUAUUUAGACUGGGAAAAUGGGAUUUGGGUUGCUGGGACUGGGAUUUGGCCACUGGGAAUGGGAAAUGAAGUCCUCAAAAAUGGGAAUGGGAUUGAGGUAAUGCGAGUCGAUUCCCAAUUUUUCUACGUUUUAAGUAUUUUAAAAUACACUUUUGAUCCGUUUUUGGUGUCUUUGGACAGCACUACCUGCGAACAGGCAAACUCUGGCGCCCUGAAUUCUGGGUUUUCUGAUUAUGUGUGUCCCCAAGUCAGAUGCACAACCUCGUACCCAGGGUCUUUCCCCUUGGGGAGCAAAGACCCUGGUAGACGCUGGUCACGUGAUCUGCUAAAAUCCAGCAGAUUUCUAAUUAACUAUCUUGGUUUUCUUUACGACAAUCAUACAAAAUGCAAAUUAUAAAUUAAACUAUCAAAAUAAUCCAAAUAUCAAAUGUUUAUUGACCUGAUCUUGGAUGCUAAUUUGUUAGAUUUUAGCAGAUCACGUGACCAGCGUCUACCAUGGUCUUUGCUCCCCAAGAGGAAAGUCCCUGGGUACGAGGUUGGUCAGAUGCACAGUGGAAUAUACGCCUGG